ACGGCUCAGUAACACGUGGAUAACCUGCCCAAGGGUCCGGGAUAACCCCGGGAAACUGGGGAUAAUACCGGAUGGAUCACUUAUGCUGGAAUGCUUGGUGGUCGAAAGGUGACGCCCUUGGAUGGGUCUGCGGCGGAUUAGGUUGACGCCGGUGUAACGUACCGGCGUGCCUGUAAUCCGUACGGGUUGUGGGAGCAAGAGCCCGGAGAUGGAUUCUGAGACACGAAUCCAGGCCCUACGGGGCGCAGCAGGCGCGAAAACUCUACAAUGCAGGCAACUGCGAUAGGGGGACAUCGAGUGGCAUCCACCUUGGGUGCCUGUCCCACCGUCUAAAAAACGGUGGUUAGCAAGGGCCGGGCAAGACCGGUGCCAGCCGCCGCGGUAAUACCGGCGGCUCGAGUGGUGGCCGAUAUUAUUGAGUCUAAAGGGUCCGUAGCCGGCUUUGCAAGUCCCCUGGGAAACCCAGCGGCUUAACCGUUGGGCUUUCAUGGGAUACUACAUUGCUUGGGACUGGGAGAGGUAGGAGGUACUCGGGGGGUAGGGGUGAAAUCCUGUAAUCCCCCGGGGACCACCGGUGGCGAAGGCGUCCUACCAGAACAGGUCCGACGGUGAGGGACGAAAGCUAGGGGCACGAACCGGAUUAGAUACCCGGGUAGUCCUAGCCGUAAACGAUGCCCGCUAGGUGUCACGGCGGUCGUGAAUCGCCGUGGUGCCGUAGGGAAGCCGCGAAGCGGGCCACUUGGGAAGUACGGCCGCAAGGCUGAAACUUAAAGGAAUUGGCGGGGGAGCAC
rnacentral:rRNA from 1 species